AUUGAACGCUAGCGGCAGGCUUAACACAUGCAAGUCGAACGAGAGGCGGACGGGUGAGUAAUGCUUGGGAAUCUAGCUUAUGGAGGGGGAUAACUACGGGAAACUGUAACUAAUAGCGCAUACCAUCAGAUGACCCCAUAUGGGAUUAGCUUGUAGGUGAGGUAACGGCUCACCUAGGCGACGAUCCCUCGCUGGUCUGAGAUGAUGAUCAUCCACACUGUGACGGAUACACGGCCCAGACUCCGACGGGAGGCAGUAGUGUGGAAUAUUGCACAAGUGGCGCAAGCCUGAUGCAGCCAUGCCUCGUGUAUGAAGAAGGCCUUCGGGUUGUAAAGUACUUUCAGUCGGGAGGCGUUACCGACAGAAGAAGCACCGGCUAACUCCGUGCCAGCAGCCGCGGUAAUUC
rnacentral:rRNA from 1 species